AAUCCNGCGAACCAUCGAGUCUUUGAACGCAAGUUGCGCCCGAAGCCAUUAGGCCGAGGGCACGUCUGCCUGGGCGUCACGC
rnacentral:rRNA from 1 species